ACACACACACACACACACCCCCCAACACACACUCCCUGUCCCCUUUCUCCACCCUGCAAGCUAGUUGCAUUUAGCUCACAGAGCCUGGGCUGCGACUUGAAAGAGUUUAGGCAGCAACAGAGUGACCCUGGGGGUGCUCUUGACCGACAGCCGCACCCCCGGCGUCUAGGACCUCCGAGCAGGGAUGCAUCUGGAGGUCUAGGGAAGCACUUCCACCCCCUCCUCUCCUCAACCCUGGCAGGAUGUGCCCGAAAUGCCAGCUCCUCCUUGGUGUUCUCCUUUCAGGAUUUGAAUUCAAAUCCCAUUGGCAGCCCUGAUACCGCUGGGGGAAGGGUGAGGCUACUGCUGCUUCAAGACAGUGACGUUUCUCUCCGGUCAGCUGUCAGGAGCGCUGGUGAGCUUCCUACUGUGCCACAAGCUGGGUCUUACUGGGGAUCUGGCCAGCCUUGGGGGCCCUUGGAGCCCUGGCCCAGUGGAAGCUCGUGCCUGAGGAACAUGGAGGCCACGCUAAUGAUGGAGUCUCACUCUGUCACCCAUGCUGGAGUACAGUGG
rnacentral:sRNA from 1 species